rnacentral:antisense_RNA from 1 species
CUUCAGCGAGCCCAGCCACAGCGGCUCACCACCCUCGCCACGGUCCUGCCCGUAGGUGGCGAGUACCGCCUGCGCCUC